CUCAAAUCCAGAAACGCCCAGACAUUUUGGAGGUGCUCGGUUCCAGAGAGACACACGUUAGCAGAAGCUUCCCUGCUCCAGAGAGGUGAUCAGUCCUGCUACAAUGUCUGAUGCUAACCUUGGAAUGAAGGUCUCUCCUGCUGCUGACUAGGGCACAGCCCUGUCCAGCCAGAGGCCCACUCUUCUGCCUCUACCAGAGGAAGGACAGGCACAGCUCUGGGUUUGAUUAACAUCGCCGAAGACUGCCUUUCACAGUAAUAAGUGUGGCUUCUCUAAUGAUUCUGACACUCAGGAACCCAUUUGGGACCAGCCCUGCAUAAAUGAGCUCACUUGUUAGCAGGUCAGUUUCACAUUUCAUGCUCUCACCUUGGCCUCACCAAGAAGCAAUCAGAGCAGAAACAAGGAGAUUGGCAAGUUGCAGGCAAUCUUCUGGUGAGACCGCCAUUCCGAGAUGAAGAAAUAGAGCAGGAGCCAAGGAUUGCACAUGCGUGGUGACAAGGAAUGGAAAGCAAGGUGACUGCAGAGAGCUCUGAGACACUUGUGGCUUGAUGGCCCCCAGCAGCAGCACCUUUGCAUUGAAUUUCCUCCACCAGAAGUAUCUGCCGCCCGGCCUUUGAGUGUCAUUCUAAGUAAGUACCAGGCUGAGUACUAUACUGGCUCUCUCUGUGGACACAGAACUCUAGAACCGGCAUGGAAUUCAAAUGUCUGGACUCACUUGCACUGCAUUUAAACUUCACAACAACAUCUAUGUGUUUAGUGACUCCUUCAGGUGACCACUUACAGUCCCUGCUCCUCUUGUCUUGUUUGAUGUGGUGCCUCUGAAAGGCCCUCCACUUUCAGUCAGCUUUCUGGACUGGAGAACCUCAGGUAGCAACCUGCAGCAUGUGUCAAAAUGUGUGAAAGCCAGCAGGGAUCCCCACCUCCAAGGCAGCUGAUGAUGUGGAGACUGCAGAGCACUCUUUAAACUACUCCAUAAAACAACAAAAGCUGCAGGUUACUAUUGUACACAAUGGACAGGUUCUGAGAUAAGCCAUGGUAACCUAUGCCAGAAAUCUAACCAUCCACUGAAAGCUGCUGUCCAGUCUAGCUGUGGGUAUGUGCAUGCCUUUAGGGACACUGACCGUAAGAUCAUCCUGCUUCCCACAAUCUAAGUGUCUAAAACAGCAUGGUAAACUACCUGCUUUGUACUCAACAGCAGCUGUCCAGGACUAGCUCAUCCUGCAAACUGCGAUCCCAGCCUCCUUAUCUCCAGCCUGGCAAUACCACAUGUUGGACUAUUUGAGCUUCCUCAGACGCUAUCGUCAUGCAGUAUUCAUCUCUGUGAGGGUUUAUUUCAGUUAGUGUAUCUGCUAGAUCCAUCCAUAUCACUACAAAUUACAAGAUUUUCCUCUUACGGGUGAAUAAUAUUCCUUAUGAUGACACCAUUUCUUCUUUAUUUCUUCUUUAUUCCUUAAUCAAGGACAUUUAGAUUGUUCCUACAUCUUACUUGUUGUAAGCGAUUGGCAUAGGAUUUCAGGGAUUUCUUUUGGAUAUACCCCCAGAAGUCGGACCAUAUAUGGCUCUGUUUUCAAUUUUUGAAGACUUCCCACUGUUUUCAUAACUGUGGCCCAAGUUUCAGUGCCCGACCACAGCGUAGGAGAGUUCUGUUACUUGGGUAUCCAGCAUUUGUCCUCUGGUGUCCCAGCGGGUGGAGGUGGUAUCUCCCUGUGCCUUCCCAAGGACUGGUGACCCCACACAUAACUCUUGGCCAUUGGAGCGUGGCUUUGGGGAAAUGUCUCUUCUGUUAUUUGCACUCUUUUUAAAGUAAGAACAUUUGGUUUUUUACUGUACGAUUUUUAUCAUUGAUUUCUAGAAGCGCGGAGUGUAUUGUACGUGUCUACCCUCUGUGAGAUUCACCACACUCACUCCUUUUCUCUUGCUCUGACAAAGCACCUGAAGCUGAGUGACAUAAAGAAAAGGAGUCACGUAGCUCCGAGAACUAGAGGUUCAAGACUUUUCCUUGUCUCUGGUGAAGGCUUCACACUGGUGGCAUCACAAUGGUGGGAGUAGAAGUGCACAGUGUGGGACAGGACACCACAGGGACUGGACCAGGGACACUCUAAAAUAACAACACCCACUCUCAAGAGCCAGCUUGGGCCUGAGACAACACGGAUCCCUCCCAGGUACAGUGCCUCCAUGAAAUUGAGCUUCCCACCAAUGCCGCUAGGCUAAGUUCUCAGCCUGGAGGCCAAGUUUCCCACACACCAUGUCCUGAAAGACUCACUCUGACCCUCAGCCAUAGCCCAUGGCUCAUGAAUGCACUCUCCCAAGGCCCCAGCACGCACCUUUUCCUUCUGUCAUUCUUUCCUUUCUUGUGCAGAAUGCCUCUAGUUUGUUGGAAUUCCGUGUGUCUAUUUUCUUUUCUUUGAUUUGCUGAUGUUGGAGCUAUUGAAGCUGAAUACACAUGCAGGGCUGUGGCAUGGCCUAGGCAUGUCUGAACUGAGAAUAAGGAGAUGCCUCAGGGGGAAAGAUAGGCCGCAGAUGAAGACACCUGGCUCUGACCACAAUCAGUAAGGUAGACAUUGUUGCUGCAGGCAUUUCACUCCUGUAAUGGAAAUCACCCAGAGACUUUCUCCUAAGAUAAUCCUUAAUUAGGAUCAUCUGUUACUUGGAGAGGUCCUUGAACCCCUCUCAAGGUUCUGCUCAGGUUGCUUGCAUUUUCUACUCUAUCCCCUUCCUUGUUUGAAUACUAAAUAAAUAUGGGCCACCCAGAGACAUUCCUGUAGAGUCUUAAACUAUGCAGAAGGUUUUGAUCCUCCCAGAGCCCUAAAAUCACACUACUUGUCUCAUUUGCUUACGCCUUCACCAUACAUUCAUUUGGGAGAUUGGGAGUUGUCUUAGUUACUUUUUACUCAUUGCUGAGACAAAAUACCUCAUACCCAAAGUCAGGGAAGGAAAGGUUUAUUUCAUGAGGGUUGGAGGUUUCAGUCCAUACUCAGAUAGCUUCAAGGCAGGGUGGCAUGGUAGGGCUGCAGUUCAUGGCAGCUGCAAACAGCAAGGCAGAAAACUGGAAGGAGAAAGAGACACACCUUCUUCCCGCCAUUACAUGAUAUCCUGGCUCCACCCCUAGGUGGCUGUAGCACUCAUACCACUAAUCUGAGUGCUGGACAAGGAACCAAUCACAAAUGCUAGGUUUGGUCCAUUCCAUAAUUCAUGAGGCUUGGGAGCCACUGACAUAAACCAUGAUAUUCCAACCCUGGCACCCAAAGGCUCAUUGCACAUCUUUUAUACAAAAGACAUUUAACCACCUCCAAGAGUUAUCAAAGUCCUAACAGUUUUAGCAUUGUUGAAAAGUCCAAGUCACAAGUCUCCUCCAAGAACUAUGGCUAACUCUUAACUAUCACCCCCUGUACAAAUGAAACAAGACUAACAUUUCCAAAUGCAAAGGCACAAGAUAAACAUUACCAUUCCAAAAGUUAAAAAAUGGGGAAUACAAAGCAUUAGAAACAAAGCAAGUCCAACAUUCAGCAGGGUGAACAUUAAGUCCUAGAGUUCCAUGCUGGACAUCUGAAGCAAUCUGGUUGCAAGCUUCAAAAGGUUGAGUGAUUCCACCCCUGCCAUGCUUCCAAGGAUUUCAGCCCCCCCCCAGCUUCUCUCUUAAGCCCCCUCUGCUUGGUUUUUGCAGCUUUUCUUGGAUGAUCCAGGUUCAUGGCUUUUCCAAACUUCUGGGGUCUCCACUGCAUCUUUGGCUUCACCCUUACAUCUUUACAUAUUGCCCUCUCAGGGGCACACUGCUUGGCCUUCCAGGCCUUUUGUGACCAAGGUGGAAGCUGUCUUACCCUCAGAAUUUGUGCAUUUUCCUUGCAACCAAAAUCAGUGCCAAAUGGAUGCCACCAAGGUUUGCUGCCACCUGGAGCAGUAGCCAGGCUUUUCUCUCUCUUGACUGUAGGCAUGGAGUGCCUGGAUCACUGGAUUUUGUGAACCUGACUGUGAGGAAAAGCUUCUCCAUGUUUCUACCAUUGUGGAACCCCAUGUGACCUUGGUCACCAUUGUGGAGCAUGGUGUUCUGCAGCUUUCUCCUCUGAGAAAGUCUUUCAUUUUUGCAGUUUUGAGGCUGCAAAGAAUGGAGACCCACUGCUUCCUGGGAUGCCCCUGGUCAUCUUUUUUAAUUCUCUGUUCCUUCUCAGCAAUCAAAGUUUCAGCUCUAUCUUUAUAAUUUGCAGCUUUACUGGAUUUUUCCUUUUGGCCAAACUCACAAAAUUUUAAAUUAUCCUGCUGGGCUUUUUGCUCUUGAUUUGCAACAUAUAUCUGGCUAAAAGCCCCCACUCCAAUAGCCAUGCCGCAGCCUCUAUAUUCUGCUGCCUUGGAAUUUAUUUUGCCGGAUUAAUCAGUCUUCUGCCCUUAAUCUCAGUCUCUGGGAAAUUCUCUGGAGAGAAGUAACAUGCAGACAAACUUUCUGUCAAGCCAUAACACACAUCAAAUGGAGUCCAGCAACAAAUGCAGUCCUUCUUUCCAGCAUGAGUCUGGUCCAAGUCUGGUCUUUACCAGCAGGCUUUUUACCUGCCUUCUUGUCUGCUGAGCUUUGACCUGAUCUACUCUACAGAACCUAAGCUGUUCCAGUUCUAUGCAUUCAGGUGACAUCUCUGAACCUUUCCAAACUCUGGCCACAAGCCAUUUCCAAAGGCUCUCAAACUACACGGUCAGGUAUAGUCAGAGCAAGGAACCCACUCCUCUGGUACCAAAUCCUGUCUUAGUUACUUUCUACUUGUCACUGAGACAAAAUUCCCAGUACAAAAGUUAGGGAAGGAAAGGUUAAUUUUUUAUGGCUCUUGGAGGUUUCAGUCCAUACUCAGAUGGCUCCAAGGCAGGGUGGCAUGGUAGGGCUGCAGUUCAUGGCAGCUGCAAACAGCAAUGCAGAAAACUGGCAAGAGAGAGAGACAUUCCUUCUUCUUUCUAUUACAUAAUAUCCUGGCUCCGCCCCUAGACGGGUUUAGCACUUACACUACCAAUCUGUGCGCUAGACAAGGAAUCAUUCACAAUUGCUAGAUUUGGUCCAUGCCAUAAUUCAUGAGGCUUGGGGCCCACUGACAUAAACCAUGACAGGGGUCUAGACCAGGUCCCCAGUAGCCUGAACUUUUUGUGUCAUAUCUUAGAAGCCCUGCAAGGCCAAUCAAAAAGAUUCUCCCUGUUCUCUUCUAGGGGAUUUAUGGUUGUAGGUCUUACAUUUAAAUCUCUACUCCAUUUCAGGUCAAUUAUUGUACAUUACAGAAGGUAUGAGUCAAAUUUCAUUCAUUUGCAUGUGUGUCCACCACUGUUCAUUAAGAAGAUUAUCCAUCCCCAGCAGGUCUUCUUGGCACCUCUGUUGCAAGCCAGUUAAUCUGUGCUCCUGGGUUGAUUUCUGGACCAUCAGUACUGUUAGAUCAGUCUGCACACUAUAAAGCACUGUCAGUACCUAGUUCAAAGAAGAUGCCCACGCAAUUGAAAGUGACUGCCUUUUACCUGCAGCCCAUAUUCCUGAGUUUAGCAUUCCCCCGCUCCCUAGUGUAGUGAUUGGGCCUUCAAAAAUUUCCCCACCUGUGCAGUCUCCACUCUUUCCAGUGCAGUUCAAAUCAAGCUUCCAUUAUGCACCAGGCUUUCUGCUAAGAAUAUGAUGUUCACUAUUCACUGGUACAUGGAUCCAAUUCUGGCACAAGGUCUAUCUUGUCAUGGCAGGUGUAAAUGCAGAAAUCUCAAUAUAGUUUGUAUGGUUCAACAAUGAGAGCAUGAUCAGAUUCCUAACAACACACAGAGACCCGAAACCCAUCCUUCAAAGUUAAGGGUGAUACAGGGGCUGGGGGUUUAGCUCAGCGGCAUAAGCGCCUGCCUUGAAAGCAGGCAGUCGUGAGUUCGAUCCCUGGUACCGAUAAAAAAAAAAAAAAAAGGAAAAAGACAAAAAAAAAAAAAAAAAAAAAAAAAAAAAAAAACAAAGUUAAGGGUGAUAUUGUGCUGCAGUUGGUACCUAAGCCGAAUUUCUAAGGACAAGAAAAAAUUAAUUAAGCUAACAAUAGGCUUGGGGAAAAUGUUCCGGUGCCUGGUGGGUAGAGGAAGAAUAUUAGCAAAGGCAGCAUAAUGUAAAACGGUCUGCAAUCAAGGAGAGACAUUGGACCGGUGCUCAGCGGACAGGACUGUGGACCACAGGAAGAACAGAGGUGAUGGAAGGCCCUUGAGUUACUGCCAGAAAGGUCAUAGAGUCCAUUUGCAUUUGUGUCUGCCUACAUGCUCACACCCUGUAUCAAAACACACAGCUGUUUCUUCAGCAUGAGAAGGCAUGUUGAGAUUUGCUCAUUAUUAAAAUAAUGACAAAGUUUAUCAACUUUUUUGAACUAUAUUAGAGAAAAGUAACACUACACUCAAUUAUUUACCAAAAUCUUGUUUUCCAAUUUUCUUUUCUAAUUCAAAAUGAGAUUUAUUGCUUAUUCAUCAUUAUCUUUUAUUUCCUGUGAGGGACGAGGUGUGGAGAAGCGUAUGUGUACGCAUGUUGCUGGGGAUCGAUUACAGGGCCUUACACUGCCAGACUAGUGUGCUACUAUUGAGGUCUCCUCAGGCCCCUUUACUUAUCCUCUGAUGUAAUUGGAAAAGAAAGGUGUAUAAUAAAUUAAUAUGAAAUUUGCCUAAUUCUGGGAAUAUCUUUGAAGGUAAGGUCAUAAAAAUGAAGGUCUUCAUGUUUCAAAGUAGAAAAGACAUUGAAAGCCAUUGGUAAUUAGCACAAAGACAGAACCAGCAGUGAAGAUUCAGAUGGAAGGAAUUUCAGAGCCUGUCAGUGACUCUUUUUUUUUUUUUUUGUCUUUUUCCUUUUUAUCAGUACUGGGCAUCGAACUCACGCCUGCCUGCUUGCAAGGCAGGCACUUAUGCUGCUGAGCUAAAUCCCCAGCCCCUGUCAGUGACUCUUGCCAGUCUCCCUAGGAGCCCACUCCACUGCCUGCAUCCCCCUCUGCCUGUCGACCUGAACACCCUGGGUCCCCAGCACCACCCAGCCUCAGUCUCAGACCGCAUCCCUGUCUCCAAACACCAGCCUUUUCUCCCUCGUAAGACAGGCUGCAAACCAAGCAUGUUAUCGUUACCUAGCAUAUUUGCUUUCAAUUUGUUCUUUGUGCUUUAAUCUUGUCUCCCUGCCAGGUUUUCGAGUACUGUAAUGCAGGCUGUGGUAGUUUUUCACCUUUCUUGUAUCUUCAAAGGGCAGGCUUUAUCCAGAAUCAAUGGAAAUUUCAUUUGGCCUGUAGUCCUUUUGCCUUUCCUUCUGAACUGCUCUUAUCACUCUUGCUACAUGUGAACAAAAGAGAGAAAAUGGAUAUGGAAUCCUAUCUGCAUCAGCCAUGCGCUGGCACAAGAGUCCUUUAAUCAGGCAUCUCUGGGGGAGCAAAGCACCUUCUCCGGUGGCACCUUCACUUUGCCUUUGUUACCAGGCCUCUAACAGAGGGACAGGGUAGUUCGUUUAUCUGGGACAGUAUUUGGUCCCUAGAAUUCACUCCUGUCACCAUCUGCCCUCUCCUUUGAACAUCAUGAGUUGAGGCCCAGAAGUAUGUUUCCUAAACUUUGUUCUCUCCAGAGCCCACAUGAGGCUUUAACUUCAGGAGAGGUAAAUUUGUGUGAGACAGGCACCUCCACUGCAUUCUGUUCCAGAGCAGAGCGACUGGCUGAGCAGCUUUGGCCAGCUGUGACGCUGCAUAGUGGCUCCUGGUGUCAGUACUGACAGCACUCAGCCCACAGCAGGAGGAUGGGAGGAAGCUUUCCAGUGAUUUCUGAAGAGAGAGCCACAUCAGGCUACGGGCUUCCUGAACCAUCCCUGAUGCUCAGGGUUCUUCUUGGCCUCUUUCCCCUUGAGUGUCUGAGAAUUGUUGCUGGCACUGGAUUCUUCUCUGCCCUAAGCACCCAGGUGGUUUAGUCCCCGCUGACCCACAGUCAUCCUGCUCACACUGCACAGCGCUUGUCUCCAGGAAAUACACACAUUGAUGAAUUUCACUGUGCAGCUUUGGAAGACCGUGUACUUGCUACGAUAUUCCUGUACUGCUUGUGUAAUCCUCCAUUGGCUUCUUGGAGUAACUAGUGUGGAAUUUCUAAAAUGGAUAAAAUUUAUUGGUGUAUCUUUAGAGAGAGAACUGAGAUAGGAAAAUAAGAAGUUGUGUUUAGAACCAGAACAGCCUUGGGAGAAACAAAAACUAAUAUGCAGUGUGAGCAGUGGAGAAGCAGGCAGACAUAUUUACUGAGGGCUGUACCAGGAAGAAAAGGAAACCACGGAGCUGGCUGUGCUUGGGAAGCAAACUCAGUGGUCAGGAAUAAGCGCACAUUUACCAUGAGCUGUUACAUCCGCAACCAAAGUGAGUCCAGCUCCCUCCCAAUGUGGGAGCUACUUCACCCCAGAAAACAGAGGCAUUGUCAUUUUUGAGGACUGUGAUUUUGUUGUCAGUUGCUGUUCUCUGUUUAUGGACCCGCUUAUUCAGUAGUUGUUACCUGAUCACUGAUGACAUGCAAUCAUUCUUAGAGCACAGGAGGGACACCACAGCACUGACAAGGCCACUGUCUUCCUAAAGUGUCUAGAUGUGUAAUGCUGGAUUGAUGGUGUCAGGUUUUGAGACAUUUAGAAGCUUAACUAAAUUGACUCAGCAACACUCCACCCUAGAGCAGCUCAUUACCUGGACAGUAUAAAUGCUGCUGUUCCUGGGAAGAGCUCCAGUCAUCACCCUGACCUGGGUGCCAAGGACCUUCAGCCUUCUCUUCUUGACCCUUCAGCCUCCCAUCACGGACCCAUCGACCUCCUGAUGCAGACUUGCACAGACACUGCAGUGAGCUCCACACCCUAGACUGCACCUUCAGCUUCCGUGCACAGAUGUCCUUUGCACACUUCCUGUUCUGACUCUGUGGUGACCACUGUAAGCCGAUCUUAUCAUUUCUUACACAUUUGUGUAUCUUACAUUACAUUUCCUCUCUAGUAAACCCUGAUACAAUAUGGAUAAGCAAAUAAGAAGAUCUCACAAUUUAAUAACAAGUUAUAAUUAAUUAAAUAAACUAUUAGGUGGACUCUU